rnacentral:rRNA from 1 species
CUAAGCUCGAAACCCGCCUCGAGACGAGGCACUUUGACGCCCGUAGAAGACGGGAUGAUAGGACCGGGGUGUACGCACCGAGAAUUAUAGUGGCGCCAGAAACCGCUUCGGCGGCGGAAGGUACCACUUCGAGGUGUUCAGCCCGCCGGUUACUAAGAGUCAUUACUGCUAUCAGG